rfam:Gossypium arboreum cultivar AKA8401 contig_48010_1, whole genome shotgun sequence.
AGUCCAUGAUGAGGACAUCUUCUCACAGACCCUUAAAUCUCUCCCAUGUAUCGUAAAGCGUCUCAAUGUCAAAUUAAGCAAAAGAAGAGAUGCCAUUCCUCAACUU